rnacentral:rRNA from 1 species
GUGGGGAAUCUUGGACAAUGGGCGAAAGCCUGAUCCAGCCAUGCCGCGUGCAGGAUGAAGGCCUUCGGGUUGUAAACUGCUUUUGUACGGAACGAAAAGACUCUGGUUAAUACCUGGGGUCCAUGACGGUACCGUAAGAAUAAGCACCGGCUAACUACGUGCCAGAAGCCGCGGUAAUACGUAGGGUGCAAGCGUUAAUCGGAAUUACUGGGCGUAAAGCGUGCGCAGGCGGUUAUAUAAGACAGAUGUGAAAUCCCCGGGCUCAACCUGGGAAAUGCAUUUGUGACUGUAUAGCUAGAGUACGGCAGAGGGGGAUGGAAUUCCGCGUGUAGCAGUGAAAUGCGUAGAUAUGCGGAGGAACACCGAUGGCGAAGGCAAUCCCCUGGGCCUGUACUGACGCUCAUGCACGAAAGCGUGGGGAGCAAACAGGAUUAGAUACCCUGGUAGUCC